UCACGGAGCGCCCCGAACAAACUUUCGCUUUCAUCUCUCUAUCUCUCUCUCCCUAACCCCGCAGUUUAACAAUAAUAUAACAAAGCAGCAGCAUUUUUCCUUUUAUUUGCAACAGGAUCUUGUUUUGCUCAGUGGUGUUCAGUGCGCUCAAAUUUAAUAAUAAUUGAAAUUAUUUAAAAUUCCGGAUAAGUGCCUCCUAAAUAAGCGAAAACAAAACUAGGGAAACUUCGUUUGGGACUGAUCGGCUUCUUGGUCGGCGUAUAUGUAUGAUAAAAUUACCGUGGCAUCUCACGGAACUGGGAGAUAAAUAGCGUAUUUCGGCAUUUGUCACCGAAGGAAUCAACUAAGAUGCACAGCUCGACAAGUGGCCCGGAAGAAGCAUCCAUGAUAAUUGUUCAGAUAUUUAACCUCAGGCGACGACAUAGAAUUAAAUUGUAAUGAAAUAAAAAGCAAUAAACUAAGGCGCCUACGAUUCAAUUGAAUUUAAAAUGAAAAUAUAAA